UGCAGUCCAAACUUAUACGUGAACCAUCGAAUUGUUGAACGCACUGCAUCGAUCCUUACCCAGGAACGAUAUGCCCCAUUGAGCGUCAUUAAGUCUUCGCGACCUCAACCUUUGUUGUUGUCCGGGUUCGGGAUACACGGGCUUCACGUUGCGCUUCCUUAGAUUCAUUGCCGGGCAGGAUCAAACACUGGCAUCCUUGUCAUAAAUGUCGAGGUCGCCAUAGUGUAUGCUUGCACAAGAUCAGGUCCUUGACCGGCCAGAUCAAAACCGCGAAUCCUUAGGGACAAGCGACUUUACUACAUGACCUCACGGGGGCAGGAUGACCCGCUAGACUUAAGCAUAUUAAUCAGCGGAGGAAAAGAAACUAACUAGGAUUCCCCCAGUAACUGCGAGUGAAGAGGGAAGAGCUCAAUGUGUGAAUCAGGCCGGGAUUAGCUCCUUGUUUGAGUUGUGCACUAUAGACGGCGGAUCAGCGUUUGGAAGCCUGUGGUGUAUGUCCGAUGAAACUCGGUGCCAUAGAGGGUCACAGUCCUGUACUUGCCUUAAGGCUUCUGCGCAUUUGACCGUCGCUCUGCGAGUCGCGUAGUUUUGUAUUGCUGCGCUAAUUGGGAGGUAGAGCCCUUCUAAAGCUAAAUAUGAUGACAUGACCGAUAGCACACAAGUACCGCGAGGGAAAGGUGAAAAGCAACCAUGCAGAAUGGGUUGAAACAGCAGUGAAAGCGUUACUGGGAUAAGGGUUGGGGAUUGCUUGUGCCGAUUGCGCGUGCUUCAGUGCUGCGCUGCCGGACGGCAUGCAUCGAUGCGGAUGGGGAGAACAGGUUCUUUGGGAAUUCGGCUGGAUCCGUCCAGUGUUGUAGCCCGAGGUUCAAUGGAGCCCCUCCUGAUCG
rnacentral:rRNA from 1 species